rnacentral:misc_RNA from 1 species
CAACCCUCAUGCCCUAGCGGCGUGGUGUUGGGGCUCGGCCUGAACUUGCUUCGGGCCGUCCCCUAAAUCUAGUGGCGGACCCGCUGUGGCCUCCUCUGCGUAGUAGUAAUAUUUCGCAUGUGGAGAGCAGCAGGCCCCUGCCGUAAAACCCCAACUUUUUCA